GAAGCCCGAUGUGGGACUCAAUACCGGGUCUCCAGGAUCACGUCCUGGGCCGAAGGUGAAAAUCCAAAUUGAGUCCUCCUACUCAGCUACUUAUUUGAGCCAGCACAUUUUUUGAACAACUUCUCCUUUUUCUACUGAUUUAGAGAGAGCAGGAGAGAGGGGGAGAGGGAGAGAGAGAAUCUCAAGCAGACUCCAUGCUCAGCACAGAGCCUAACGUGGGGCUCCAUCUUAUGACCCUGAGACCAUGACUUGAGUCAAAAUCAAGAAGUAGAUGCUUAACCAACUGAGCCACCCACGUGCCCUAAAGAAACUUCUGAUAAGCAAAAGGAAAUUAUAUCUCUUAUAAUUACAUCCCUGUUAUAAUUAUUUGUAAAGUUAUCAUCUAUAAGUGAUUAUAAUAAUUUUGAUUUUAACACAUAGAGAAUCUGGCCUCAUGCCAGAAAAUUGUAUUAUUUGUUGGAAGAUACAUAUAAAACUAUAAAGAAAAAUAAAAUUAGGGGGAAAAUGCAAUUAUAAGCACACUAAUUCUAUUGUAAUAAUCACAAGCCCUAGUAGAGUGUCUUGCAGUAAAAUGCUAGGAGUGGGUGGCCAAUCACUCGCAUUUGGAGGUGAUUUGGAGGCCAGGCUGAAGGAUUCUCAGGGCAGGAGAAAACCAAGUGCGCUCCACUUUAAUGUGGCUCUCUUCAAGAGGUUAGGCCACUUGCCUGAGGACACACAGAUAGUGUCCAGCUAGUAAGCAGUGGAGAGACAGAAUCUGAAUGCCUUCUUCAGACCUGGGAAUAGAUUGUAUAAUUUUUUGUUUGUUUUCUUUCCAUGGGGCUGUUUUUAUGAUAACUAGGUUCCCUUCAGCAAUAAAAGCCUUACAACUCUUUUAAGCCCUGUUGACUUGAGAUUUCAAGAUCCGAUUAUCAAAUUUGUGAUUACUCACAUUGUACCAAUCCCCUGUCUUUCUCUGGCUGCCUGCCAUUCCUUCUUGACCACAUCUCUACCUGAGCACCCACAAAGGAAACAGGGAAGCUGAUACUUAAGAAAGCCAAUGCUGCUGUCUCUCCCAUCCACAAUAAAAAUAU